rnacentral:rRNA from 1 species
UCGCCUACGGGCGGCAGCAGUGGGGAAUAUUGGACAAUGGGCGCAAGCCUGAUCCAGCAAUGCCGCGUGAGUGAUGAAGGCCUUAGGGUUGUAAAGCUCUUUCGGCGGGGAAGAUGAUGACGGUACCCGCAGAAGAAGCCCCGGCUAACUUCGUGCCAGCAGCCGCGGUAAUACGAAGGGGGCUAGCGUUGUUCGGAAUUACUGGGCGUAAAGGGCGCGUAGGCGGCGCAUUAAGUCAGGUGUGAAAGCCCUGGGCUCAACCCAGGAAUUGCACUUGAUAAUGAGGUGGUUGAAUCCGGAAGAGGAUGACGGAAUUCCCAGUGUAGAGGUGAAAUUCAUUGAUAUUGGGAAGAACACCAGUGGCGAAGGCGGUCAUCUGGUCCGGUAUUGACGCUGAGGCGCGAAAGCGUGGGGAGCAAACAGGAUUAGAUACCCGAGUAGUCUCC